GGGCUCGUAGCUCAGAUGGAUAGAGCAGCCGCCUCCUAAGCGGCAGGUCGCGCGUUCGAAUCGCGCCGAGCCUACCA
rnacentral:tRNA from 1 species